UGUGAACGCUGGCGGUAGGCCUAACACAUGCAAGUCGAACAGCAGCACAGUAAGAGCUUGCUCUUACGGGUGGCGAGUGGCGGACGGGUGAGGAAUACAUCGGAAUCUACUUUUUCGUGGGGGAUAACGUAGGGAAACUUACGCUAAUACCGCAUACGACCUACGGGUGAAAGCAGGGGAUCUUCGGACCUUGCGCGAUUGAAUGAGCCGAUGUCGGAUUAGCUAGUUGGCGGGGUAAAGGCCCACCAAGGCGACGAUCCGUAGCUGGUCUGAGAGGAUGAUCAGCCACACUGGAACUGAGACACGGUCCAGACUCCUACGGGAGGCAGCAGUGGGGAAUAUUGGACAAUGGGCGCAAGCCUGAUCCAGCCAUACCGCGUGGGUGAAGAAGGCCUUCGGGUUGUAAAGCCCUUUUGUUGGGAAAGAAAAGCAGCAGGUUAAUACCCCGCUGUUCUGACGGUACCCAAAGAAUAAGCACCGGCUAACUUCGUG
rnacentral:rRNA from 1 species